GUCUCCCUAUGUCCACCAGUCAUCGUCUCUGUCAUCUCUUUCUUGCUCCUCACUCUUCUCCAAUGGCUUCAGCUAUGAUGGAGGACAGUUUCGAAGACGAUCAGCUGGCCUCAAUGACCACCGACGACAUCAUCAGGGCCUCUCGCCUCCUCGACAAUGAGAUCCGGAUCCUCAAGGAUGAGUUACAGCGGACGAAUCUCGAGUUGGAAUCCUUCAAGGAAAAGAUAAAGGAGAACCAGGAAAAGAUAAAACUUAACAAGCAGCUCCCUUAUCUCGUUGGUAACAUCGUCGAGAUUUUGGAGAUGAAUCCAGAAGAUGAGGCCGAGGAAGAUGGUGCAAAUGUUGAUCUAGACUCACAAAGAAAGGGAAAAUGUGUUGUUCUAAAAACUUCUACACGACAAACCAUCUUCCUUCCUGUUGUUGGGUUAGUCGACCCUGAUAAACUUAAACCUGGAGAUUUGGUUGGGGUUAACAAGGACAGCUACCUAAUCUCGGACACCCUUCCUUCGGAAUAUGACUCACGAAUAAAGGCAAUGGAGGUUGAUGAAAAGCCAGCUGAUGAUUACAAUGAUAUUGGUGGCCUUGAGAAGCAGAACUUGUUGAAGCCAUUGUGCUGCCAAUGACACACAAAGACCGGUUUCAGAAAUUAGGGAUUCAUCCACCUAAAGGAGUGCUUUUGUAUGGACCACCUGGAACUGGGAAGACACUGAUGGAUCGUCCAUGUGCAGCACAGACAAAUGCUACUUUUCUGAAGCUAGCAGGACCCCAACUCGUUCAGGAUGUUUGAAUAACAGAUUAUGUAACGAAUUUCUUAUGCUGUAAAAUGGGCUAGAGCUAAAAAUUUCAAGAAAGACAAUAUCUACAACACAAGUGUACUGAAGCUGGAGUUGUUUUAAUAGGAAGAAAGUAUGGCAGCUUUGCCUAGGAGGAGUCGAGAGCGAUAGUUGAUAGGGCUACAUUCCUUAUUGCAGAGCGUGUCAGGGAGUAAUCAUUAUCUGGCAAGACCAGUCAUGUCGAAGUUUAGGUGUUCGUCGAAUUGAUAGAAUCGGAGCGUUAUGGUUGAGUGAGGGGUUAUGACAUUGGAGUUACCCCCACUCAGUUGUUUACAGUGAGCAGAUAUAUUUGAGAUGCCAGACAUAGGUUUGUAGUUUGAAGGCAGCGAUGGAAGAGAUGAGGCAGAGCCAUCUGACAGAGAUGGAGGAGAUGAGGCAGAGCCAUCAAAUAGAGAUACAAUCUUUGAGGGCUCAGCUUGAUCAGAUUACAUCUUUGUUGCAUAG